rnacentral:rRNA from 1 species
UGAGGAAUAUUGGUCAAUGGGCGAGAGCCUGAACCAGCCAAGUAGCGUGCAGGACGACGGCCCUAUGGGUUGUAAACUGCUUUUAUGUGGGGAUAAAGUGCGUGACGUGUCAUGCAUUGCAGGUACCACAUGAAUAAGGACCGGCUAAUUCCGUGCCAGCAGCCGCGGUAAUACGGAAGGUUCGGGCGUUAUCCGGAUUUAUUGGGUUUAAAGGGAGCGUAGGCCGUUUGGUAAGCGUGUUGUGAAAUGUAGGAGCUCAACUUCUAGAUUGCAGCGCGAACUGUCAGACUUGAGUGCGCACAACGUAGGCGGAAUUCAUGGUGUAGCGGUGAAAUGCUUAGAUAUCAUGAAGAACUCCGAUUGCGAAGGCAGCUUACGGGAGCGCAACUGACGCUGAAGCUCGAAGGUGCGGGUAUCGAACAGG